rnacentral:lncRNA from 10 species
UGGUAGUAGAGGAUUACAGAGAGGAAGGCAGCUCCAUUUCCUCUCCACAGCUGACAGAGUGCAGAUGUGAAAGGCCUGAUGAUCCUCACAGAAUCGUAUUUGGGUAUUCUCCAAAUCCAUUGCCAUGUGUGGAACAUGCAUCCCUGAGGACACGCUGAUGCUUCAGGAUCAUCAGGUGAUGCUCAGUGGUCCCUGACAGCUCCCCGGGAGCAGAGUGGAAAGGGCGUGUGAGGCAAUGAAGAAAAGGAUCCAUGCUCACGAUGGAAACAUAGUAGUGAGCAGGGAGCAGUGUGCAUGAGGCAAUGGUCUUGAGACUGCAAGAGGAGACCUGUGGGAGAGGAAGCUGUGUCCCAGGAAUGACAAGAACAGUGUGUGAACCCUGACCAUUAGCUGAGGUGCUGGCAACAACCACCAGGAGUCCCCAAAAACACCCAGCAAGAAUCCCCUCAGAAAAGGCUGAAAUGUCUAUAACCUAAGUAGUCAUGGGAAUUUGAGCCAUUGCUAUGCUGUUAUUUAGGCAUGAAAAGGAAGUGUUCCCUUAAUUUUCAGUCACAUGCACGUGAAGCCAGGUCACUUGCAGGAUGUAUUUAUAAUUUCGAUGUAAAUUUAAUUUAUACGAUAUUGACCUUUUUCUGAAAUUUACAUUUUUUCAUAAUAGCAAAUAAUAUGGUAAAUAAUUUCCUACAUUAGUAAAUAUUAAUAAUUAUACUAAAUCAAUAAGAAGAAUAUUAAAUAUUCUCUAACAUAAUUUAGAUGGUUAUAUAAUUUGCCAUUAUGUGGGACUACUAUAAUUUAGACAAUGAAUCAUGUAUCAUGUGACAUAUAUUAUUUUUAUAAACAAAAUUUUUUAACUGCAUCUUUGCACAAUUUACGUUUGUUUCCUUAGCAUAUAAGAAAAGUCCGCUUUUACCCUAUAUCCCUCAUCUUAGAGGCUGUUCCCAUGUCCCCUUCUCAGAGAGUUUGCUCCCAUGGACACUAAGGUAAAGCAAAGGAUGUAACAAGAGCUGCCAUGUUCCUGAGGCCUCCCAGAUCACAGUUCCAUCUCACGCAUAAUCUCACACAUUUCUCUCUAAGGUUCUGAGUUGGUAUCACAAGUUUCCCCUUUGUUGGGUCAAAUAAGUUUCUGGGUUGUUGUUUUGCAGUGUUUUUUAUUGGUGCUUUUUUGUUUUGACAAUAAAGUGAUCAUGAUUGGACACUUAUGAUAUAGCCUGUAGGAGGAAUUGUUGGAUUCAAGUGAAUAAAAGCAUUCACAGAGAGUAUAUUCAUGUACACAGGUACACAUACGCAACCCACACUGGUAUUUUUGGUCAAAUACCAGUCCAGUUGCUGCUGUGAAGAUACUUUUUGGAUUUGGUUAACAUUUAAAUUAGUAGACUUUGAGUAAAGCAGAUGACCUUUCACAAUGUGAGUGGGGCUUGUCCAAUCAUUUGAAGGUCUUGACCUUAACAUCUACAGGACAUAUGCACACAUAUUGAAUACUGCCCUCCAAAAUGGUUUCACCAGUCUCCAUUCCUGUACACAUUUUCUAAAUCUAUUAGCAAGGGCAUCAUUUUCCCAAACUUUUAGGUGAAAAAAAAAAAUAGUAUUUUAAUGCUCUUUUAUUUGCAAAUUUUUACAAUUAAUGAGGUCGAAUUUUUUCCAGCACAGAUAUGGUCAUUUGUUUCUUCUUUCAUAAAUUGCCUCUUUUUAUCCUUUAUUUUCCUAUUUGGAUAAUUAUGCCUUUCUUAUUGAUUUCUAGAUAAUUUCCUCACCUAUAGUUUGCAAAUAUAUCCCAUUUUUGAGUGUUAAUGUGCUCAAGUAUAUCAACAGGUUUACAACUCCUGCCUAAGUGUGAUAUUUUAAAAAAUCUUCUUUGUCCCAAGAUUAUGUUUAUAUUCAUGUGUAUUUUCUUUCAUAUUUUGUAUACUCUUUUUUUAUAUUUACAUUUUUAAUUUGUCUGGAAUCUAUGUGGUUUAUGGUCUAAGUCAGAAAAUUAAAUUCAUAUUUUUCAAAAUGCUUUGUCAGUUGCCUCAACACCUUGUAUUCAUUAAAUACAUUCUGUCUUCACUUAUUUGAAAUUCUGCAUUUAUCAUAUAUUAAAUUCUUAAGUAUAUUUGCUCUCUUUUAGAAAUCUGGUUUAUUUCUUUAAUUUGAUAUUCUAGUAUUAUGCUGUUUCUAAAUCCUGUGUCUUCGUAAAUAUGUGUGAAGGUCUUGAUAAAGCAAAUUUUCCCCUCUUCAUUAAUUUCCUAAUAUUUACUUUUGAUAUUUUUAUUUCUUUAUUUUUCCAGGCCAACUUUGAGAUUAUAUGGGCAUUGGGUCCUUCCACACCCAUAAAAAUCAUCAACUUCUCUUCCUUUGUCUCCUAAUCAUCAUUGUAAUUUUCAUCCUGGUGAGCAUUUCACUGAAUUUAUCUUAAAUGUUUAGAAUUAGAAUAAGGAGAAGAGAAUAGAAAUACUUGUAUCAGUCAGGGACCUCCAGAGAAACAGAACAAAUUAGAAUAUGCAUGUCUAUGGAGAGAGGUUUAUUUUACGGAAUUGGCUCUUAAGAUUGCAGAGCUGACAGGUCCUAAAUCUGCAGGACAGGCCAGCAGGCUGGAGACUCAGGGAAGAUCUGAUGUUGCCCAGUCAAGUCUGAAGGCAGUCAGGAGGAGAAUUCCUUCUUCUGCUGGGGAUGUCAAGCUUUCCUCUUAAGACCUUCAACUGAUUGGACAAGCCCCAAUCACAUUAUGAAACGUCAUCUGCUUUACUAAAGUCUACUAAUUUAAAUGUUAGUCAAAACUAAAAAGUAUCUUCACAGCAGCAUCUGGACUGGUAUCUGACCAAAAACUAGGUACCAUGGUCUAGCCACAUUUACAUAAAAUUAACCAUCACAAUAGUCAUAAGAUUUGGUUUUCUCUUACUGAAAUGCGGUAUAAUUGGGAUUUAUUCAAAUCUUCUUUUAUAUCCAUCCAUAAAGUUUUGUAAUUUUUCCUUAUUGGCCUAACAAUUCCUGUAAAGAUUAUUUGUAAGUAGUUAAUAAUUUUUGUAAUCAUGAUGAGUUUAACACUUUUAUUUUAUUACAUGUGCUCAUAUGUUGUUGCUGACACUAAGAAACCUAUAGGUCAAAAGAUGCAAACUAGGGCCACAUGAGCACGGCAGCACCCAGCCAGGACUCUGCUGCAGCUGCCGUUUGUAGAUGGAGCUCUCUGUCUCCAAAGAAGCACAGGCCUGUUGUUCUUCUGGUUGUGCUACAGUAAAAUGAACCUGGGUUUUCUGAACAUGUGGUUGAAUGUCAGUUGCUACCUAUCGUUUCACUUGUGAUAUUGAUUUUAUUAAUCUUAAAGUUAUGUGAAUGUUAACUAUUUCUCAUAUCUAUAUCUUAUUCAAAAUCUGGGAAAAUAAAAGACUAAGGAAAAUAAAUCUUUUUUUCUCUAAAGAG